rnacentral:rRNA from 1 species
UACGGGGGGGGCAAGCGUUGUUCGGAAUUACUGGGCGUAAAGGGCUCGUAGGCGGCCAACUAAGUCGGAUGUGAAAUCCCCAGGCUUAACCUGGGAAUUGCAUCCGAUACUGGAUGGCUUGAAUCCGGGAGAGGGAUGCGGAAUUCCAGGUGUAGCGGUGAAAUGCGUAGAUAUCAGGAGGAACACCGGUGGCGAAGGCGGGUCUCUGGGCAACUACUGACGCUGAGGAGCGAAAGCGUGGGGAGCGAACAGG